AUUGAACGCUGGCGGCAGGCUUAACACGUGCAAGUCGAGCGGGGGAAGGUAGCUUGCUACCGGACCUAGCGGCGGACGGGUGAGUAAUGCUUAGGAAUCUGCCUAUUAGUGGGGGACAACAUCUCGAAAGGGAUGCUAAUACCGCAUACGUCCUACGGGAGAAAGCAGGGGAUCUUCGGACCUUGCGCUAAUAGAUGAGCCUAAGUCAGAUUAGCUAGUUGGUGGGGUAAAGGCCUACCAAGGCGACGAUCUGUAGCGGGUCUGAGAGGAUGAUCCGCCACACUGGGACUGAGACACGGCCCAGAAUCCUACGGGAGGCAGCAGUGGGGAAUAUUGGACAAUGGGGGGAACCCUGAUCCAGCCAUGCCGCGUGUGUGAAGAAGGCCUUAUGGCUGUAAAGCACUUUAAGCGAGGAGGAGGCUACUUUAGUUAAUACCUAGAGAUAGUGGACGUUACUCGCAGAAUAAGCACCGGCUAACUCUGUGCCAGCCGCCGCAGUAA
rnacentral:rRNA from 1 species